AACCUUCAUGCAAAUAGGCUAGCCUGCAGAAGAUAAAGGAAACCAUAAAACUUCAGAGAAAAAGAAAGAUGGGAAAAGAUAUAAUUUUAGAAAGAAAUAACAAAAUUAAAGUUCCAUGAAAUUGUUGGCCAGCACAACAACUACAGUUCCUGAGGCUUUGUCAAAGAACACUAUCAAGUCAAUCCAAGGCAAUUGGCAGUUACAGGAAAGCAUAAUUUUGAAUGGAUAGAGUGGGAUGGAUUAUUGGAUCAAUUGAAUCAAUGGAAGUCAUAAAAAAAAUGAUGGAAAAUUCCAUAUUCAGAACUUCCUUGGUGCUCAAAUAAUUUUUAUCGACUGAUUAACAUAUAAAUGAAGACUCCACACUACUAACAUCAUUUGGAACCAAAAACCGGCAAAAAUUUAAGGCUCAUGAAAGCAACAAUACUGCA
rnacentral:misc_RNA from 1 species